UUGGCAAUUACCUUAAAUAACCUGCAUUUCUUCCAACAGGAAAUCGAAGCCAAAAGUAAACCGAUAGUCCGGAGUACAUCAUUUGACAGUGAUCUGUCCUCGGGAUCAAGCACGUCCACUAAAAGUUUAUUCGGCGAAAUCGAAGCCAAAAGUAAACCGAUAGUCGGGAGUACAUCAUUAGAGAGUGAUCUGUCCUCGGGAUCAAGCACGUCCACUAACAUUUUAUUCGGCGAAAUCGAAGCCAAAAGUAAACCGAUAGUCGGGAGUACAUCAUUAGAGAGUGAUCUGUCCUCGGGAUCAAGCACGUCCACUAACAUUUUAUUCGGCGUAAGUCAGUAUUUAAAAACAUUCUAAUAUGACAAAAUAAUUUACUUAAGAAUGUUUU